rnacentral:rRNA from 1 species
CCUACGGGGGGCAGCAGUGGGGAAUUUUGGACAAUGGGCGCAAGCCUGAUCCAGCAAUGCCGCGUGAGUGAAGAAGGCCUUCGGGUUGUAAAGCUCUUUCAGUUGAGAAGAAAAGAUUGUGACUAAUAAUUGCAAUUCAUGACGGUAUCAACAGAAGAAGCACCGGCUAACUACGUGCCAGCAGCCGCGGUAAUACGUAGGGUGCGAGCGUUAAUCGGAAUUACUGGGCGUAAAGGGUGCGCAGGCGGUUCUGUAAGUCAGAUGUGAAAUCCCCGGGCUUAACCUGGGAACUGCGUUUGAAACUACAGAGCUAGAGUGUGGCAGAGGGGGGUGGAAUUCCAUGUGUAGCAGUGAAAUGCGUAGAGAUAUGGAAGAACAUCGAUGGCGAAGGCAGCCCCCUGGGUCAACACUGACGCUCAUGCACGAAAGCGUGGGGAGCAAACAGGAUUAGAUACCCGGGUAGUC